UAACCCAGACAAUAAGGACGGUGAAGGUUUUCACCUGUUUUUGCAUGGGGACGGUCACGCCAAGAAUCACCUGCCUUCUUAGCAAGCAGGACAGAAAUAGUUAAGUCCCGAAGGCUGUGAGUUAAAAACUCUGCCUGAGAGACACUCAAUGUGAGGUGUCCCUGCCAGGUGUGGGGUAGCACUGCCAGGUGUGGACGGAGAAAGGCUGCCCUCCUGCAACUCCGCUUCACAGUCAAGGUCGUCUGACUGGUGCCACCUUAGAAACUGGCCCGGUUCUGUAGAGGACAUGGAACGAUCACACCCUGCGAGUCAGCUGACUGCUGUGUCAUCGCUGCUGCUUUCUGCAUCAUCGCACUGCCCCAGCCCUGGUUCCUGCCGUUUCCUCAUCACAAAGCAUACAGCUAGGCAAAAAGCGACAGUUUGAAAGUGUUCUUUUCCUGCUGCUACCUAGCAUUUCUUCCGUGAGGAGUAUUUACCUUGUGUAGCCAGGAGCAGAGAAGCAGUCUGAAUGCACACAAUGGCUUCACACUUGGCAGCGUGCAUCUCCAGCAGAGCAGGUACUGCCUGGAGCCUGGUGGCCAGACUGCCCCUGGUGGAGCGCGGCUGGGUCCCCAGCACUUGUGGGAAUGGCGUGCGGGCUUCUCACGCCGCGCCGCUCUACCUGCAGGAGUAAAGGCUAGGACAAAGGAGAUGCUGAUGCCGUUUGCCUGGCUGGGGCCUGGGCAGGCAGACUCCACCGAACUGAUGCUGUGUGACUCUCCCAGCUCCCAGUUCGGGCUGGUCACGGGGGCUGGCGCAGAUUCCCGCUCCUCAGUUAGAACACGGUUGAAAGGAGAAACCAGGCUCACUGACCUAAAUCCAUCCCGGUCCUCUCUGGAUGCGGGGACAGCUGUCGACUAGCAGUGACACAGCCAGCCAUCAAGUGGAGAAUCGUUGCGACUGCAGUCUGGGUGCAGGUGGAGCCUGGGAGAUUGACAGUUUAAUUGCGGUCCUCCGAUGGCUUCUUCUCAUUUUCCUAAAUAAUCGUGCGCGCUAAGUGUACAGUUGCCUGGAUUAGUCUGCCUUCCACAGUCUUCGUCUGCGCUGGUUGGAAAUCAGGGUGCCAGGCAAGACUGUUUAGUGCUGGCUCCUUCCUGCGUGAUGUUAUUCAACUAGGAUGGGUCACACUGACAACAAAGAAGGAAGCAGAAGCCAUCACUUUAUCUUCUCUUGUGAUGUUAGCGGAACAUAACCGUUCUCCUCCGCAAUGAUGCCCUCCUCUGUGUGUGUGUGUGUGCUCGUGUGUUUGUGUGUGUGUUUUAAUUCGUCUAAUCGAGGAGCCUAACAUAUCAUCAUGGAUGUGUGCCUUUUUAAAAAUGAUUUGGAAAAAAAGGCAGCCUGUGGAGACAGCGAUUUGAGACAGCUGCACAUUUAGGGUAUUGCCAAUUUGAAAUACUUUGGUUUGUGAAGCCGAGCCCUAAGAGACAAGCUGGGUAACUGAGAAGGAGAUCGUAGAUAAAGAAAUAAAAAUGACAAGCGUAAUGGAGGCUCUGUGGAAGGACUGUCAGAGCAUCAGUUCCUGGAUGGCAAUUUCGCCAGGCUGAGAUUGAAUAAUUCAUAGAUUGAAAUUACCCUGCUUUCACCUUUCCAUUUAAACCGGCAUGAUCUGAAUCUCUAAUAAAUUUUCAAGAUAAAGUAAAAUGCCAGUUUGAAUCUGAAGAGCUUUUAAAACCAGAUGCUGCAUCCCUGAAUCUUUCGGUAUCUUUCACAAUUAUCCUGUGAGAACUGCACUUCAUCACGAAGCACCAUUACCAGUGAAAAUUACUGUGAUUACAAUAGCAACAGUAGAAUACCGUCAAAUGAUCUCUAAUUUACCUAAUUUGCUAAGACUGUGUGCUUUUAACGCCCAUUGUAUGUCACCCUGCCGGGCACCCUGGAUCUCUCUUGCACCGAAACAAAAGUGAGGCAGUGUGUGUGAUACCUUAACUCCCAAAGCAAAGAACAUUCUCCUAGGUUACAACGUCUCUUUCGUUGGGUUUGCAUUUGUGUGUGUGUGUGUGUGUGUGUGUGUGUGUGUGUGUGUAUGUGUUUCCAUUGCCUAUACCCCAAAUGUCCAUUUGGGGAAUUCGUGAGUGUGUUGUAUAUUUGGGGUUGAUUCUUGGAUACAGGAGAGCACAGACUUCUUAAUUUAUCCACCCUUUUAAUUUUAAUGUAUACAAGCAUGUGUUUACCAGAAGGGAGGGAAGAUUCUGUUCUAGGAGGAGUUUAAAAAUGCAGCCAAGAUGAAGUGUUCAUCUUUGUUUCUUUUUUGAAACUCCUUUCUGCUUUCAGGUUAGAGAGCCUUUCAGGGAAUUAUAAUCCUGGUGUGAUGUGUUUAAAACAAAACCAAAAACGUUUCAGAUUGAGAAGAAGCUCAAGAGACAUCCAGUAAUAACUCUGUGCAGCCCUUAGUGAGAGCAUGUGUGCCUGAGUAUGGGAAGCUUUGGUCCUAGACUUCGGUUGUGUUUGUGUCUGCUCGCUCUCCAAGUAGAAGUCUCACCCAAAUAAGUGCUGCAGGUUUUGUCUCGGGGGUCACUGUGCCACCUGAGAGAGUGGCAUGGCUCUUCAAGCCUCCGUGGAGAACAGACUGUAAUCAUUUGAUAGGCACAGGCACUUGUGGAAUUUCACCCUCAGUAGCAGACAGUAUGUGGGCUUCUGCUAGUCAAGUAAUUUAAGUUUGACGCUAGGUAGGGUUUCCGAGGAAUGACAAUCUCUGCGGAGGAAGGUAGGGUUGAAACAUACCUGUCUAAUGUUGCGAGUUGUUUGCUGAAGACCCUGAGCUCUGGUAUAUUUCUUAAUCCAUUAUCCCAGCUUUACCUCUUCCUGCACCCCUGCAAACACCUUUGGCAGAAGGAGAGACUCACAGCCAAAGACUCUUAUCUGCAGACCUGCCAAAGGAAGUGAUUGCCAAAGGGUCUUUUAAAUGAAGAAUGGAGACAAUCUGUUGCCUCUUUUCAUUCCGAACCACGGAUUCUUGUCAGCACUGAGGAGAAUUUUUGAACCCAUGCACACCACUGGAUCAACUCUGAAGGGCGUAGCCUGGGGAGUCUCUCCAUGAGGAGAAGAAGAUGUAUUCAGAGCUUCUAUCCAUCUCUGGUGAUGCUCCUCUAGGGUACUGGGCCUGCUAAAAUGUAGCAUCUAUCUAUCUAUUUAUCUAUUUAUCUGAUCUAUCAUCUAUCUAUCACAUAUAGCUAUAUGUCUAGGAUGGAGCAUAUAGCUAUAUGGACUCAUUUCCAACCUUCACACUAGCCAGAGCCUUGGAUCCUACAUAAAGAGUAUGAAGAAAAACUGACCUAGGCAUUUUUAUCACCUUCAGGGGGAAAUGGUACUCCCAUUGCACUGGGUGCAUAUUUCUAGACUAAGAUGAAUUACAUUGCCUAAUACCUGUUUUCUUGACAGUCUCUUUCGCUAGACUGUGAAGCUGUCCAGGCUAAGGACUCUUUUUCCUUCAUCAUGAUAUUUCCAGCUCAUACAGAAGUUUAUUGCACUUAGUUGAUCAUUAAAAUGUUUACUGAAGAAAAGAAGAAAACUGCAGCUGUAUUAGUUCAUUAUUGUUGUUGUUGUUGUUUUUAAGUUUAUUCAUUAAAGGUCUGUGGGCUGGGCUUCCCUGGUGGCGCAGUGGUUAAGAAUCUACCUGCCAAUGCAGGGGACAUGGGUUUGAUCCCUGGUCUGGGAAGAUCCCACGUGCUGCGGAGCAACUAAGCCCGUGUGCUGCAACUACUGAGCCUGUGCUCUAGAGCCUGGGAGCCACAACUACUGAGCCCAUGUGCCACAACUACUGAAGCCUGUGCACCUAGAGCCCAUGCUCAGCAAAAAGAGAAGCCACCUCAAUGAGAAGCCCGUGCACCAUAACGAAGAGUAGCGCCCACUCGCCACAACUGGAGAAAGCCUGAGCGCAGCAACAAAGACCCAAUGCAGCCAAAAAUAAAUAAAAUAAAAAUAAACUAAUUUAAAAAAAGAAGUCUGUGGGCUAACUCCUAGGAGAAUGGUUGAUACAAAACCGAAUAAAACAAACCCUGGUCCUGGUCUAACCUAGUUAGCACAUCCAACUUUCACAUAUUGUUUAAUUUAUAAGGGAAGACUGGGUCUGUAUGUAUUAACCUUGAACUAAAUGCUAUGUUAAUAUGAUAUUUAAAUUCCCACUCUGAUUUCAUUUAUCAAUAUAAGGUCUGACAUCCCUUAAAAAAUAAGCUAUAACUCAGAAGUAAUCAUCAAUCAAGUUACAAAAUUCAUAUCCAACUAAAUGUGAGACAUUGAAUACAUACAUAUAUAUUUAUCUCCACUUUCUCCUGGAA